rnacentral:ribozyme from 14 species
AAUAAUGAAAGAAGGAAAUAGAAAUUAUAACUCAUUAUUGUUUGUCUCAUAGUCGUUAUCGUUUGUUUGUUGUCAGCUCGACGACUAGUCUCUCCCUCUCUUCUCUUCUCUUCUUUCUUUCUCUCUCUUUCU